AUUGAACGCUGGCGGCAUGCCUUACACAUGCAAGUCGAACGGUAACAGGUCUUCGGAUGCUGACGAGUGGCGAACGGGUGAGUAAUACAUCGGAACGUGCCUAGUAGUGGGGGAUAACUACUCGAAAGAGUGGCUAAUACCGCAUGAGAUCUACGGAUGAAAGCAGGGGAUCGCAAGACCUUGUGCUACUAGAGCGGCCGAUGGCAGAUUAGGUAGUUGGUGGGAUAAAAGCUUACCAAGCCGACGAUCUGUAGCUGGUCUGAGAGGACGAUCAGCCACACGGGGACUGAAGCACGGCCCAGAAUCCUACGGGAGGCAGCAGUGGGGAAUUUUGGACAAUGGGCGCAAGCCUGAUCCAGCAAUGCCGCGUGCAGGAUGAAGGCCUUCUGGUUGUAAACUGCUUUUGUACGGAACGAAAAGCCCUGGGUUAAUACCCUGGGGUCAUGACGGUACCGUAAGAAUAAGCACCGGCUAACUACGUGCCAGCCGCCGCGGUAAGAC
rnacentral:rRNA from 1 species